GACGAACGCUGGCGGCGUGCUUAACACAUGCAAGUCGAACGGAAAGGCCCUGCUUUUGUGGGGUGCUCGAGUGGCGAACGGGUGAGUAACACGUGAGUAACCUGCCCUUGACUUUGGGAUAACUUCAGGAAACUGGGGCUAAUACCGGAUAGGAGCUCCUGCUGCAUGGGGGGGGUUGGAAAGUUUCGGCGGUUGGGGAUGGACUGGCGGCUUAUCAGCUUGUUGGGGGGGUAGUGGCUUACCAAGGCUUUGACGGGUAGCCGGCCUGGGAGGGUGACCGGCCACAUUGGGACUGCGAUACGGCCCAGACUCCUACGGGCGGCAGAAGUGGGGAAUAUUGCACAAUGGGCGGAAGCCUGAUGCAGCAACGCCGCGUGCGGGAUGACGGCCUUCGGGUUGUAAACCGCUUUCGCCUGUGACGAAGCGUGAGUGACGGUAAUGGGUAAAGAAGCACCGGCUAACUACGUG
rnacentral:rRNA from 1 species